GAAAUUCUAGUCUUAUCGGUGGAUCACUCGGCUCGUGGAUCGAUGAAGAACGCAGCCAACUGCGAUAACUAGUGCGAACUGCAGAAACCUUGAACACAAAACAUUCGAAUGCACAUUGCGCCAUUGGAGUUACAUCCAUUGGCACGCCUGGUUCAGGGUCGUUAUCACAAAAUGCACUGCUGUGUGCGUGUUGUUCUCGUGAGAUCGCGUCUGCCUUUAACGUGUUCUUGCGCUAUGUUCGAGCCCAGCUGUGGGACAAGGUUGUGCUAGCAUGGAACUGUGUUGAUCUUCCAUGCUUUGCGCACUGCGUAACUCGUGGCGCGACCUUGUCUCAUGUAUGCUGAGGUGGAAUGCUGCUUGGCUUGUGGCAUUCUGCGCUUGAAUUUUCGACCUGAACUCAGACGUGAGUACCCGCUGAACUUAAGCAUAU
rnacentral:rRNA from 1 species